UUAUGGCUCAGGAUGAACGCUAGCGGCAGGCUAACACAUGCAAGUCGAGGGGCAGCGCGAGGUAGCAAUACUUGGCGGCGACCGGCGAAAGGGUGCGUAACGCGUGAGCAACUUGCCCGUAUCUGGGACAUAAGCGGUGGAAACGCCGUCUAAUUUCCCAUAACAACAGAGGCCGCAUGACAUCUGUUUGAAAGAUCCGUCGGAUACGGAUGGGCUCGCGAGACAUUAGCUAGUCGGCGUGGUAACGGCACACCGAGGCGACGAUGUCUAGGGGUUCUGAGAGGAAGGUCCCCCACACUGGAACUGAGACACGGUCCAGACUCCUACGGGAGGCAGCAGUGAGGAAUAUUGGUCAAUGGGCGCAAGCCUGAACCAGCCAUGCCGCGUGAAGGAAUAAAGGCCCUAUGGGUCGUAAACUUCUUUUGUGGUGGAGCAAUAAGGUGUACGUGUACACCGAUGAGAGUACAUCACGAAUAAGCAUCGGCUAACUCCGUGCCAGCCGCAGC
rnacentral:rRNA from 1 species